UGAAGACAGGUGAGAUAGUGAGGAAGAUAACUAUUAUUGUAUAUUUGGGGAAAUUCUCAGUGUGCUUUUUUUUUAUAUAGAUGUUUUCAAUUACAGUCAUGUUGACAUCUCAACAUUUUAGUAGAGGCUCAAAAAAGGGAAGGACUUUAUUGCACAGCUGCUGGUUUCGGAUGUACGAGCCUGGCUUUAACCCCAACUGGUUUACUCAUAGUAGUAGCUGCAUUAGUGGUGAUAGCGGGAUUGUUCUUGUACUUUGCACAUAAGAACAAGAAAAAUAAGAACUGACUGAUGAGUUCAUUCCCCUGGAGUUGACUGCAAAAGAUCAAUGGAAUCGUAACUCCACAAUAAAAACAAAGAUGGCUGAUAA